GCUGGCGUAGCUCAGUUGGCAGAGCAGCCGCCUUGUAAGCGGCAGGUCGCGGGUUCGAUUCCCGCCGCCAGCU
rnacentral:tRNA from 1 species